rnacentral:rRNA from 1 species
AUUGAACGCUGGCGGCAGGCUUAACACAUGCAAGUCGAGCGGGGUGAUGGUGCUUGCACUAUCACUUAGCGGCGGACGGGUGAGUAAUGCUUAGGAAUCUGCCUAUUAGUGGGGGACAACGUCUCGACAGGGAUGCUAAUACCGCAUACGUCCUACGGGAGAAAGCAGGGGAUCACUUGUGACCUUGCGCUAAUAGAUGAGCCUAAGUCGGAUUAGCUAGUUGGUGGGGUAAAGGCCUACCAAGGCGACGAUCUGUAGCGGGUCUGAGAGGAUGAUCCGCCACACUGGGACUGAGACACGGCCCAGAAUCCUACGGGAGGCAGCAGUGGGGAAUAUUGGACAAUGGGGGGAACCCUGAUCCAGCCAUGCCGCGUGUGUGAAGAAGGCCUUAUGGUUGUAAAGCACUUUAAGCGAGGAGGAGGCUCUUUUGGUUAAUACCCAAGAUGAGUGGACGUUACUCGCAGAAUAAGCACCGGCUAACUCUGUGCCAGCAGCCGCGGUAA